CCCUUAGAUGUUCUGGGCUGCACGCGCGCUACACUGAAGCGUUCAACGAGUAUUCACCUUGCCCGGGAGGGUUGGGUAAUCUUUUGAAAACGCUUCGUGAUGGGGAUAGAUUAUUGCAAUUAUUAAUCUUCAACGAGGAAUUCCUAGUAAGCGCGAGUCAUCAGCUCGCGUUGAUUACGUCCCUGCCCUUUGUACACACCGCCCGUCGCUACUACCGAUUGAAUGGUUUAGUGAGGACUCCUGAUUGGCGCCGCCGCCCCGGCAACGGAGCAGCGGACUGCCGAAAAGUUGUUCAAACUUGAUCAUUUAGAGGAAGUAAAAGUCGUAACA
rnacentral:rRNA from 1 species